rnacentral:tRNA from 1 species
GUGAGUGUAGCUCAACGGUAGAGCAUCAGAUUGUGGAUCUGGUGGUUGGGGGUUCGAGACCCCUCACUCACCCCA